rnacentral:rRNA from 1 species
UACGUAGGGUGCGAGCGUUGUCCGGAAUUAUUGGGCGUAAAGAGCUCGUAGGCGGCUUGUUGCGUCGGCUGUGAAAUCCCGAGGCUCAACCUCGGGUCUGCAGUCGAUACGAGCAAACUAGAGUGUUGCAGGGGAGACUGGAAUUCCUGGUGUAGCGGUGAAAUGCGCAGAUAUCAGGAGGAACACCGGUGGCGAAGGCGGGUCUCUGGGCCGAUACUGACGCUGAGGAGCGAAAGCGUGGGGAGCGAACAGG